ACUACGGUGGGCAGCAGUGGGGAAUAUUGGGCAAUGGGCGCAAGCCUGACCCAGCAAUGCCGCGUGAAGGAAGAAGGCUUUCGGGUUGUAAACUUCUUUGACAGGGGAAGAGCAGAAGACGGUACCCUGAAAACAAGCCACGGCUAACUACGUGCCAGCAGCCGCGGUAAUACGUAGGUGGCAAGCGUUGUCCGGAUUUACUGGGUGUAAAGGGCGUUUAGCCGGGAAGGCAAGUCAGAUGUGAAAUCUGGAGGCUCAACCUCCAAAUUGCAUUUGAAACUGUUUUUCUUGAGUACUGGAGAGGCAGACGGAAUUCCUUGUGUAGCGGUGAAAUGCGUAGAUAUAAGGAGGAACACCAGUGGCGAAGGCGGUCUGCUGGACAGCAACUGACGGUGAGGCGCGAAAGCGUGGGGAGCAAACAGGAUUAGAUACCCCAGUAGUC
rnacentral:rRNA from 1 species